rnacentral:piRNA from 1 species
UNGGUCUUAAGCGUGGCUCGUUGCUGUU